AAGUACAAUACCAUUUCUAACUUUUUAUUUAACAACACUACACCUGUCCUAUUGCCCGUGUAUAUACACAAUGAAAUGGUAAUUAAUUUAUACUAUAUAUAUAUAUGAUACACAACAUUUACAUUGACUGACUGCUCUCAAGUUUUGCGCGCCGUCUCAGCCGGACGUAGUAAUUUAGAACUUCGGGAUGUGCUUUGAUGCAAUUUUUACUGAAGUCCAACACACGCAGACCUUCUAGACUCUUGGCUCGGGAUAAUGCCACAUAUGCCUGACCGCAUUCAAAAACUCUUGAUAAUGAUAUUUCUACACAGUCGAGCGUCAUACCCUAAAUGAA